UAGAUAUAUUGCUAGGUGCUUA
rnacentral:siRNA from 1 species